CUGGUUGGUAUGUAAAAUAAAUUUAAAAAAAGACUCCACCAUAUUUAUGGAUCAACAGAUUUGACAUUAUGAAAAUGACUGUAGAAGACAAUCUAAAGAACCAGUGUAAUUCUUACCAAAAUUCCAGUGAAAAUAUUUACAGACCUAGAGAAAAAAAUCUUAAAAUUCAUAUGGUAACAUAGAAGACCACAGGUAGGUAGCUAAAGUAUUCCUAUUCAGAAAGAGCAAUGGUGGUGGCAUCACAAUACAUAAUCUCAAAUUUUACUAUAGAGCUAUAGUAACAAAAACAGUACAGGGAUAUAAAAAAACAGUCCUAUUAGGAAAAAAAAAACCCUCUACACCUACAACUACUCUGUCAAAGUUGACAAAUACACAUUGAUAAAAAAAAAGCCUCUUCAGCAAACAGUAUUGGAAAAUAUUGAUAUCCACAUGUUCAGAGAACCCACUAGAGAAAACCACAGUCACAGCACUCCCAAGAUAAAGGCACAAUCAAAGAUUUCUCUGCAAGAGACUGUAAGAGCACAGGAAUAGACCCAGGAAUUGACAAAUGAGAGCUCAUCAAAUCAAGCUUUUGUACAGCAAAAGAAACAAGUGUAGCAAUAGGAGAAAAUCUUUGUUGACUCUACUGCAAACAGGGGAUUAACAUGUAGAAUCUACAAAGAAUGAUAAUAAUUACAUAUAAAAGCCCAAUCAUUUGUUUAAUAAAUAGACUAGUAAGCUAGAUAAAAGACAAAUGCACCCAUGAACACUUGAGACUGCUCUUCCAGACAAUGCAGUUUCCGCUCCCAGCACCCACAUACUGGCAUACAACUGUUACUCCAGUUUAAGGGAUCUGAUGCGUGCCAGGUGCACAUGUUGUACACAGUCUAGUGACAUUUCCCUUGGUUGUCUUCCAUAGCUGCGUGGUAAGAUCCUGUAACUGAAGACACAUCACACUUGGUCUGCAGGAUAUAGAAAACUUAAUCUCAAACCAACCUAGAAAUGUUCUCCAUGGUGGCUAGCUUUCAUAGUACCAGAGGUGUUCUGCAGGCUACUGGGGAAAAAGACAAGAGUUACUAUGAAGUUUGAUGAGAAGCUGUUUGAAAUGGCUAGCCAUCAAAAAUUGAUCAAAGCGUUGAGAAGACAGACUGAGUGCUCAGCCCUAAUGGGACACCUUUAUCAUCCCCACUGAAGACAGAAGUUUCUUUUCCAGCCUGAUCCUGCAGCCCUUUAGACCCAAAUAAAUACACUGAGAACUGUUUGGC